rnacentral:lncRNA from 1 species
CUAUACAUUCCGUCAAUCAAAAAAUCCAAAGGACUUGUAAAAUUAUCCCAAAGAACAGAAUGCAUAUAGUAAUCUAAAAGCAAAAGUCAAUGCUCAAAUAUAAUUUGUUAAACUAAAAGUCAGUAACAAGUACAAACUUGAAAGAUUCCCUAACAAGUAUAAUUUGUUGAACUAAAAGUCAGGUAACGUAAUUGUACAACAU